rnacentral:rRNA from 1 species
ACCAGACUUGCCCUCCAAUUGUUCCUCGUUAAGGGAUUUAAAUUGUACUCAUUCCAAUUACAAGACCCAAAAGAGCCCUGUAUCAGUAUUUAUUGUCACUACCUCCCCGUGUCGGGAUUGGGUAAUUUGCGCGCCUGCUGCCUUCCUUGGAUGUGGUAGCCGUUUCUCAGGCUCCCUCUCCGGAAUAGAACCCUAAUUCCCCGUUACCCGUUGAAACCAUGGUAAGCCAAGACCAUACCAUCGAAAGUUGAUAGGGCAGAAAUUUGAAUGAACCAUCGCCGGCACAAGGCCAUGCGAUUCGUUAAGUUAUUAUGAAUCACCAAGGAGCCCCGAAGGGCAUUGGUUUUUUAUCUAAUAAAUACACCCCUUCCGAAGUCGAGGUUUUUAGCAUGUAUUAGCUCUAGAAUUACCACGGUUAUCCAAGUAGUAAGGUACUAUCAAAUAAACGAUAACUGAUUUAAUGAGCCAUUCGCAGUUUCACGGUAUAGAUUGCUUAUACUUAGACAUGCAUGGCUUAAUCUUUGAGACAAGCAUAUGACUACUGGCAGGAUCAACCAG